GACGAACGCUGGCGGCGUGCUUAACACAUGCAAGUCGAACGGUAAAGCGCCUUCCUCUUUGUUGGGUGUGGAUGAGUGGCGAACGGGGGAGUAACAAGUGAGUAACCUGCCUCCUUCUUCUGGAUAACGUCGUGAAAGUGUCGCUAAUACGGGAUAUGCUGUGCCUGUGGCAUGAUGGGUUUUUGGAAGAUUGUGUUUCUGUGUGGGAUGAGCUCGCGGCGUAUCAGCUGGUUGGUGGGGUGAUGGCCUACCAACGCGGUGCGGGGUAGCCGGCCUGAGAGGGUGGGCGGCAACACUAGGACGGAGACACGCACAAGACUACUACGGGCGGCAGCAGUGGGGAAUAUUGCAAAAUGGGAGGAAGGAUGCUGCCGCAACGCGGCGGGGGAGAUGGCGGCCGGGUGGUAGUGACCCUCUUUCGCCAGUGAAGAGGACCUGCCUAGUUUGUGGGUGGGUUGACGGUAGCUGAAGAAGAAGCACCGGCUAACUACGUG
rnacentral:rRNA from 1 species